rnacentral:lncRNA from 1 species
GAAACAAAUCCUAAAAUCUCAUCAUUUAAGUAAAUUUACAAUUUUGUGUUGUAUUGUAUUUAUAGCUUUCCUUGCUUCAUGAAGUCUUAUUAUGCCUACAAGCCAUAGUUUGAAUAUACCUGAAUAGUUUAAACCUAGUGUUGCCUUGAUGGCUUUCUGUCUUGAUAAUCUAUGCACUCUAAAGUAGUGUAUAAAGAUCUGAGGCUUUACUGAACCUUAGAUAUCUCACUUCUCAUUGUUUAAUAAUUGCUUUCUACAUUUACACAAACCAAUAUUGGGUGGAUAUAUUUAUAACUGUUAUAAGGUAACUUCUGUAAUUCAUUUUAAACUUCUACUAUUCUCUCCUUACCUCCCUUUUGAAUUUAGAGUUCACAUUUUAAAGAAUUUCAAAAUACCCCUUAUUUUUCAUUGUAUUUAUUAGGAUAACUCUGUCUGGGUCUGGGACCUACAUCUUUAUUUACAGCACUUGGGAUUUAAAGGAAGCUCAGAUAAACCAUGACUACAUAAUGAAACCAUGUCACAAAAAAAGAAAACUUUUUACUUUAUGAUAUCCGUACUAAAGAUUAUCAGUAAGCCUCUUACUUUAUUAUUCUAAAUUUGAGGGUGGUGAGAAUCAAAUACAAAGUCUUACAUACUCUACACAAGCAGUCUACCUCUGAACUUUGCAUUUGGUUCUGUUUCCACUGUAAUUAACAUUUUUUGUAGGACUGGAGAGCAAACCUAGGAUUUAGUGCAUCCAAGGUAAGCACUCUACUGCUGUGCCAAAGACCCUACCAAUUUAGCAUUUUACAUAAGGCAGGUCACUUUUAACACAUUAUCUUUUAGGGGAAGAGGGAGUGGUCUGGUCAGUCUAAUGUUUCUGAAUUAGUUUUGUUAAGCAUAGUAAUCCUUGGUUGGCACAUUACCCUCCAUGUAAUAACAUAAAUAUGAAUCCAUUUAUGGAUGACUGGGACAUAGAAACUCUGACAUAAUUAGUCAAUUAAGCCUAAUUGGUGGAUUAAUCUGAAGGCAUUAUUGGAAAGUGGUAGACAGAACAAGUAGGUCACCCAGGUUGUUGUGUGUAGCCAUGUCUUAGACUUUUCAUGUCUCUUCCUGGUUCUUGACCACUAUGAGGUGAACAGCCUUGCUUCAUUUAUCAUGUCUUCUGCCAUGAUGUCCUGCACUUGUAAUCAACAAAAGCAAUGGAAGCAGUAGAUCAUGGAAUAAAACCAAUACCAUGAGUCAAAACAACUGUUUCCUUUUUAAAUUGUUCAAGUAUUCAUCAAAGUAAAUAGCAGAUGCAAUAAACUUCCCUGAAUACAAAAACUCAGAGAUAAUGUUCAAAUUCUAUUCCUCCACCCUUCACUCUUAUCUGCUUCUGUACCCUCCUUUCAGUUCCUAUGAAUCUCUCUUCCUCUUAAACUUCUAUCAAUAAGUUAGUCAACAAUUUAAUUGGAGACACAUGGAUAUUAGUUGCUUCUCUUUUUGUUGCUUUCAAGAUUCUGUCUCUGGUUUUUGUUAACAAGCAAUGUUGGGAGAACUGUUCUCAGGAUGUCUUCCAAGAUGUUAUCUACCAGCUGCAUGGUAAUUUCACUGAAACCACACAACCAGAGAUAAGGUAGGAGUGGGUAUAAUCCAAGUCAAGGGAAUGGCAGUGCCAAACUAAAAUUCAGAGUCAUUUGACUAAAGGCUACAACCUCAACCAGUGUGGACUAUAUUCCAGAUACAUUCCCUAUCAUUUUCUAUGUGUUUCUGGGUAAUGAAAAAUCAGGAUAUUGAUCCAAGGUUCCAUGCAUGUCAGCCUAAUAAUCUUAAUUUGUUGUUUAAUUUAGUCAUGUUUGUUUGUUUUUGCAAAAGGAAGAUGACAAACUUUAGGUGGUCAUGUGGACCCACCCUUAUCAUCUGUCAUCCCUUUUCCUGCCUGUAUGACUUUUAGUAAGGUGUAUAACCUCUCAAGUUAGAGAUUUAUCUGUUUUGUGAAAAUGAAGGACCAUGUGCACAGAUCUUUAGCAGUCAUUGAAAACUCUUGUCAGAAUUUACAGGAUUUUGAGCAGCAAAGUAUAAGAAAAUAUUAAAUAUGACUCACAUAUUUACAAGAGAACAGCAUCUGGAAGAUUCCUCUAUAAAAAUUUGAGAGACUAGUUAGUAAUAACAAAACGACUUAAGGUAUCAGUUGCUAUGAUUGCUAGAAGAGUAUGAGUGGCAUAAAGAAGGUGGUCAAGAGUACACCAGAAGACAGGAUGUAGAGUUACAAAACUGUCUUGCUUUCAAUCAUCUAGUCUUUUCCAACUUAAUGUCUUUUUUCCCUGGGGCUGAUAUAAUAGUGAUUCCAGAAAAAUUUAUUCAAUAAAUGUAUGUGUAUAUUUCUUGAUUAAUGAUUAUCUGCCUACUACCUAUGAGACAGAUCAGUACAAGGUAGUUUCCACUGUGAAUUUACUCAGAUUCCAUACAAGAAAGAAGAUGCUUUUAAAAAAUAAUAAUAGUGGGACAAUAUCAAUGCUAAAACACAGGAAAGAAAGAAGGGAAUGCAUUUCUGAAGGCCUCCUCAACUGUUCCAAUAAAUAUGAUCCACCAGGUUGUGACCAGGUAUAUGUAGGCUGCUAUUACACUAUGAAGGCACACUGUAACUAAUACAAGUCUUUAUGAGUGUGAUACUUUCAAAAUUCCAACUGAAAGAAUAUAUGAGGUGUAUAAAGUUAAUCUAAAAAGGAAUUUUUGAGUAGUGAUGAAAGGGAUGCUGAACAGGACGCACUAGCAAAUUAUGCAGAAAUCCAUCUGUACAAUCUAUUCAAAGGGGAAGUACUCAUACAAACCAGAAAGAAAAAAAAAUGUGCUUUAUGAGAAUGAAAAGAAUUAGAAGUAGUUCAGAGUCAGGAAGAUAACCUGAGGAAAUCAAAGGAUUGGGGCCUGAAAUAAAAUACAAUUAAAUAGGUUUGAGAGACAAUAACUGACAACAUGCAUAUAUAUAUAUAUAUAUAUACAUACAUAUGCACAUAAACUGUGAGAGGGUAGGAAACAGCAAAAGCUGUGGUACACAUGGAAAGGUCAGAGGACAACUUUGUGGAGUUGCUCUUUCCUUCUAUGUUUAAGUGGGGUCUAGGCAGAGUAUUCAGGUCAAGUUUUAUAUAGUGAGCACCUUUACCCACUAAGCCAUCUCCCCAGGCCUCAAAAUUGACAGUUUUAAAGGAAGUAACAAGAAAUGGCUAGGAGAUACGAGAGUAAGAAUUUUGUUUUUAAUCAGUACUUUUUUGUACUAUAUAAUGACUUAGAGGUACCAGGAUGAUGUCCUGGAAAUAUAGUUCUGAUGAUAUGAGAUAUGAGACCCACAAGAUAUGAGGC